UACGAGUGCCCCAAGCGUUAUCCGGAAUUAUUGGGCGUAAAGGGUGUGUAGGUGGUCUAGUUAGUCUCAUGUCAAAUUCUUCGGCUUAACCGGGGUACCGCAUGGGAUACGGCUAGACUAGAGGAUGCGAGGGGUGAAUGGAACUCAUGGAGUAGGGGUGAAAUCCGUUGAUAUCAUGGGGAACACCAAAAGCGAAGGCAGUUCACUGGCGCACUCCUGACACUGAAACACGAAAGCGUGGGUAGCGAAGUGGG
rnacentral:rRNA from 1 species